rnacentral:lncRNA from 1 species
AAAAGGGGGAGAGAAUCAGAGUAGGGGGAGGGAUGUGGGGAAGAGGGAGAGGGAUGGGAGAGCAGUGAUAGGGGAUGGAAAAUGGCAGUUUCGUUAAGUUUGUAAUGGAAAAUGGUAGCUCCGUUACGUCUGUAACGAAAAAUUGUUAGUGAUCAUUGUCUUGUUAUUUUUCGAAAGUUGAGUGACUGAAUUGAAACCUGAGUGACUGUUG